rnacentral:misc_RNA from 1 species
GAUGAAGAACGCAGCGAAAUGCGAUAAGUAAUGUGAAUUGCAGAAUUCAGUGAAUCAUCGAAUCUUUGAACGCACAUUGCGCCCGUCAGUAUUCUGGCGGGCAUGCCUGUUCGAGCGUCAUUACGCCCCUCAAGUCCCCUGUGGACUUGGUGUUGGGGAUCGGCGAGGCUGGUUUUCCAGCACAGCCGUCCCUUAAAUUAAUUGGCGGUCUCGCCGUGGCCCUCCUCUGCGCAGUAGUAAAACACUCGCAACAGGAGCCCGGCGCGGUCCACUGCCGUAAAACCCCCCAACUUUUUAUAGUUGACCUCGUAUCAGGUAGGACUACCCGCUGAACUUAAGCAUAUCAAUAAGCGGAGGA